rnacentral:rRNA from 1 species
UAGGGAAUCUUCGGCAAUGGGGGGAACCCUGACCGAGCAACGCCGCGUGAGUGAAGAAGGUUUUCGGAUCGUAAAGCUCUGUUGUUAAGGAAGAACGAGUGUGAGAAUGGAAAGUUCAUGCUGUGACGGUACUUAACCAGAAAGGGACGGCUAACUACGUGCCAGCAGCCGCGGUAAUACGUAGGUCCCGAGCGUUGUCCGGAUUUAUUGGGCGUAAAGCGAGCGCAGGCGGUUAGAAAAGUCUGAAGUGAAAGGCAGUGGCUCAACCAUUGUAGGCUUUGGAAACUGUUUAACUUGAGUGCAGAAGGGGAGAGUGGAAUUCCCAGUGUAGCGGUGAAAUGCGUAGAUAUUGGGAGGAACACCAGUAGCGAAGGCGGCUUUCUGGACUGCAACUGACACUGAGGCACGAAAGCGUGGGUAGCAAACAGG